AACCACCAUCAGACUACCCAUCAGAUUUAAUUCCAGCGGAGACUUCAUGUGUCCUUUGCUCAAGCAGUCCAAAGUUUGACAUGCCAGUGAAUAUUACAAAUAUGUCCAAAAUAGUAACAACCCUUGGAAUUGCUGAAAAUAUUUCAACCUACUUUAAGAGAUGUCCUGAGUGUCAGAUGACUUACCGUUAUCAGGAGUGGCAAGAUGGACGUCAUAACUUUGAUGAUCAUCUUGUGUUGAGCCUUGAACUAUGUCUUUAUUUAAGACACAGUCUUCAGAACCACAUUUCUGUUUCAAGGGCUAUCGAUACUCUGCAAAAUUUGCGGAAAAAACAGUUUCCACCGACAGACAGGAUUUUGCAUGCCUACUGCCACUUUGAGGCACUAACCAGCACAGAUUACACAUAUGCUUGUGUUCUGUGUGGCUACUGGCCUUCUGUUGUGGUGAUGGACCUGCAUAAAA